UCUACCUGUCUCUUCGGAUACCUGUGGGGAUCUGUUUUUGGAUUGCUCUAAUUUGUGAAGGGUUUCGUAGCGCUAUGAGAACUCGGACCUUAGCUGGAACUCGGUUUUAGGGUAAAAGUGUCGCGUUUCAUGGGUUUUAAAUGGACCGUGCCUCGUCGCGCCGCACUGCUUGAAAGCGUUUCGUUUGACAGAUUUAUGCAUACUUUCAGUUUUUGUGGAUCGUCUGAUCGCUGAUGCUGGACGCAUCUCUGCUUGAGUUCCCGAAAUGUCUGUUUUAUUGCCAGGGCCAUUUGAAAACGAUAGUCUGUGGAAUGUGGAAUGUGUGGAGGAAAUAUUAUGCAAAAUGGUUUUUGGAGUAGGAUUUGUAUAUCUCAAAAAGUGCUUACAUAACGAAAAACGCUGCGAGAGGAGUCUCACAUUUGCAGAGAUUUGCAGAGUGUAAACGAGUCUUAUAUGUACAUAUGUACGAUCAUCUCUUUAGACCCCCAAAGACCGUCAUUUACUUUAAUCUUAUUUGCAUAAUCCUUUCCAGCAGUUCGUCCCGACAAUCAUUUCUGCGGCCCAUCAUUUCUGCGGCGUCUCAUUCUGUAAAUUUGUCACGUAAUCAAAUAAGAAAUUAUACCAAAAAUAAAUUUCAUAAAAAAGCCACACACUAAAA